rnacentral:lncRNA from 1 species
UUUUUUUUUUUUUUGGUUAAAAACGUGAAUCAAAUUUUUUAUUGCAGGGCAUAAACAUCCUGUUGACUGCGGAUGAGCAUUGGAUUGGUCGAACCGUGGACGAUGUACGUUUCCAGAUUGAUUCGACUGCGGUUAGUGGAAGGCAUUGCAAGAUAUACAGGAAGAGGGCUGCUAAUGAAGAUACGAAGCAUACAUCCGUAUGCUUGAAGGACAUGAGGUUUAUUAUUGUUAUGCGUUGAGAUUUUUCAGUUUCGCAGUCAACUUAUAAAAUGAAUGAUUGAAUUGAGAUUUUUGCAGCACAAAUGGGACUUAUCUUAACUGGAUGAAGUUGACAAAAGUUGGCGCUGAAGCUGAAGUACGUCAUGGAGAUAUUAUAUCACCUUCAGCACCUCCUCAGCAUGGUAAUACUACAGUGGCCAAUAACCAUCUUGUAGUCUAAGCGGCACUUAUGAGAGUAACACCCUUUUUAUUAUUUAUAGGCUUCUAAAGUAGAAUUUGAGGAGUUGUUAAUUCUUAGUAUUUGUAUAGAGAUAUUGUUUGUGUUUUAUAGUUUGUAAGAAGCCCCAUAGUCUCUACGACAGAAUGUUAUUGAUCUUUUAAUCUGUCUAUAAUUACAGAUCUUGCAUAUGCAUUCGUAUACAGAGAUGUUUCACUGUCCAGUCCCAGUACAGAUGGUGCAUUUGCAAAAAGAAAAGCAGGUAUAUUCAUGACAAUGUAUUAUGUAUGCUAUAAUACUGUUUAUAUUUUUAUUUUCUUUUAAUGAGCUCAUCCGGCUCUCAGAUUUGGAUGCUGAGUACUUGUGGUGUUUCUAUAAUUGGUUAUCACAUCUUUCUUGUGGUUGUUGCAACUCGCAACCAUGGAAUCAAUCAAGUCUUUCAGGGGACACUGCUCAUUUGCAAAAUACCACUAUAAUAAUUAUUUUUACUCAGGUCAUAAUAGAUUCAUAGAUCUGAUGGUGUUCAUGGUUGUGAAUGUGGCUCAUUUGGACUAUUUAAUAUUACUUGUUCUUGAAUGUGAUAGCUCUCAUUAUUUUAUUGACGUAUUUUCUCUUUUUAGUACAGAGGAUUUUGUCACUGAUAAUAAGAGAGUUAAAGGGAUUGGCAUUGGUUCUUCUGAUGGUCCUAUAUCUCUUGAUGACUUUCGAAGUCUUCAACGGUCAAACACGGUACCUUAUUGAUGAUAUUACAGUAUUGAUUACAAAUGAAGAACUGAUGUGAAAUGAUGAUGGAAAGUCAGAAUAAUUAACUUCCUUUUGAAACUUCAGGAAUUGAGGAAGCAAUUAGAAAACCAAGUUGUUACAAUUGAUACACUGCGCAAUGAGACUCGUCUGGCUGUUGAGUGUCAUGAAAACGUAUGCUCCUGGUGACCUGUGACCUCUCUCUAUCUCUCUCCCUCCCUUCCUUAUCCUCUCUCUCUCUCUCUCUCCAUCCUUUUCCAUGAAACAACCAUGCCUGUUUUUGAAUCAAUACUUGUAAAACAAAUUAAUCAACAAUCAAACAAGCAACCAAACUACCAGUGACCAAAUUGAAAUUAGAAUACUAAAAAACGUACUUAAAUUCUGAAACAAAUUCUGGUGGUGUGGAUAAUUUUGAAACAAAUUGAGGUAUGAGAUUGGGCCAAAAUUGAAAUAUGGGAUUGGGGAGAAUUUAGGGUUUGAGGAAUAUGGAAAUUGGGUGAAUUUUGAAAGGUAGAAUCGGGUAUUGGAUCGGGAAGAAGGGAGACCUGCUGGCUGCUGGGGUUUAUAAAAAAAAUAAAUAAAAAGUAGACUUAGCCAAAAUGAGGUCAUUUUGGGCCAAGUCUUUAUAAAUAAAUUAUAAAACCCUUCUUCUUCUUCGCACGGUCGUCUUCUUCGUGAAGACGCCGCUGCAACACAGAACCGGAGCCAGGUUUCCAGUAAAUUUCAAAUUUCAAGCAAGAUUUUGGAUUGCUGAAGGGUACUGGGAACGCCCAGUCAAAUGCCUCAGGCGUGCCUCGGCUACCUAGGUGUGACCCGUUGAAGCCUAGGCGAGUUUCCGCCUACUCAGAACACAGGCGAAAUUGCUACCGCCCGGCCUCGAAGGCCCCCUAGGCAUGCCUUGAGGCGUGUUUUUUAAAACACUGCUUUGAAUACAUUGAAUUGGUAUAAGUGAGUGCAUGUUGGUGCAGGUUGACAUUCUCUGUGUUAUUCCUUGACAAGCAAGGUACGUCAAUCUACUUACAAGUGACAUGUUUUGUCCUGCAGGAAAAGAAAGAACUGAGAGAAUUGGUGGCAAGACCUUACCUUGAUCAACUCAGUGAGUUGCAACGUGGUCUGGAGAUUAAACAGAAGGAGCUGGCGGAAGCUAAUAGAAUAUAUGCAGAAACAAAGCAUGCUAUCGAAGACCUUAAUGAAAGGCUUGGUGCUUCUGUGCAGUCAUGUUCUGAAGCAAAUGAAAUUGUGAAUAGGUAAGGCACUUAUUAUUUGGUCAUGUGCUUGCCUAUUGAGUGUAUAUAUUUUCUUUUCAAUGGAGUCUCUUAUUGUAUUAGUAUUAAGUAAUAAGCAAUAUUGUUUGAGUAGCUGUCUCCCAUGCUUUUCUGGCUAGCAGUUCAAGUAGCUUCCGCUUAUAACUUUUACUUGAUUCUACGUCGUACACAAAUCUAAAUUUCCAAGCUUUCUGAGCCAAGGCAUGGGAAGAAAAUGGAUACUUUGUUUGGGUGGCCAGCUUUUUCUGAUAAGGGUGUUGUGGUGAUUGGUAAAAGCACUGCAGGAACUUGGCAUUCACAAUACAUUCAAAUACUAAAAUAUACACUAACUUUGUUUCCUAUACCUGAUAUGGCUGUAGCUGGGAUGGCUAUUAUCUUUUCUUGCUUAAGAUAUAUCUACUUAUUAACUUAUUGAUAUCAUGCUUCAUUUGAGCAUGUCUAUGCCUGACUUGUUUUGUCAAGAACAGUGGUGACUGAUUCUCUGCCCACCUUAGGUUGCAGAAGUUGAGAGAAAAUUUAAUUUAUGUAGAAAGAUAUAGUGAUAGUCUUAUCCUUGUUUGUAGUCAGAAAGCAUCUAUAGCUGAACUCAAGGCACAGUUGGAUGAAGAGCGUGCUCAGAGACAAGAAGAACGAGAAAAGGCUGCAGCAGAUUUGAAAGCAGCAGUGCAGAAAGCUCAAUCAGAGGCUGAAGAGGAUUUAAAACGAAUUUCUGAUGAUGCCACAAGACGACAAAGAGAGCAACAAGAAGUAAUUAAUAAGCUUCAGGUAUGAAUGCAUUUAUAACUUUCGUAUAUGAUAUAAUGUUUUGAUUGUGUUGAGGAAUGAUGUAUAGAGAUUUGUGGUCUCAGGAAUCAGAGAAAGAAACAUGUUUGUUAGUGGAAACCUUGAGAACCAAAUUGGUAAUAUUGGCACUACCUUUAUAUUUGUACAUGCUGCAUAAUUAGAUACAUCGAUUGAAUCAUUGGAGGCCCUUGUCUUGAUUCCCCUGUGUUCUGCAGGAAGACACUAGGCAAAAGUUGGUAGUCUCUGACUAUAAAGUUCGCCAGCUAGAAACCCAACUUUCCGAAGAGGAGUCAACCUCUGAAAGUCGAAAAAUUGUAAUUAUGCUCUUUCAUGCCUGCUUAAAUAUUUUUGUAGUUAUCUUCACCUGCAAAUAGCUGUUGAAGUUAAGUUCCUUACCAUAUUGGGGGAUGUUUGCUUAGAGAGUUGAAGAACUUGAACAUGAGAUGAGAGGACUGAGGAAGGAGCUUGAGAGUGAAAAGGUAGACAUGAAAAUUUUUCUUUUGCCUUCUACAGUGUUGUAAAUGGUACAACACGCUAAAUGUAUCCACUUGUAGGCAAGGUUUCUGUAGGCAUUUAUCUUGUUACUUUUUUAAGCUGACAUAUUUCUUGCUGUUGGUAGCAGGCAGCUCGAGAAGAAGCAUGGGCUAAAGUUUCUGCACUUGAACUAGAGAUAAAUGCUGCUAUGCGAGAUCUUGAUUUUGAGAGACGAAGGCUAAAAGCUGCCAGAGAAAGAAUUAUGCUUAGGUAAAGAUGUCUUUACCUGUAGGAAAUUUCGUUGCAUGGUAGCUUAGUUCUUGAGUAAUCUAUUUUUGCUUAUGUUUUCUAACCCUUUCUUCCCUGUUAUGUCAUUGCUAAGCACGUAAAACUCUUUGUGGAUCAGCCCCCCAAGUUUUCCAAUUGUAAAAUAAUUUUUGCCCUAGAAUCAGUCAGUUCUUUUCAAAUGACACAAAUGGAGGUCCAUUUUCUGUGUUUGUGUUGGGGAGGGGUGGGGUUGGUUACUUUUUUUUUUCAAACGCUGAAUUUUCUUAGAACAUUAUAAACCGUGAAGAUAUGCUUUUCAUACAGGGAGACACAACUAAGAGCAUUUUAUUCCACAACCGAGGAGAUUUCUGUACUGUUUACUAAACAGCAGGAACAGUUGAAAUCAAUGCAGAAGACGCUGGAGGACGAGGAAAAUUAUGACAACACAUCAGCAGAUAUUGACCUCAAUGUGGUUAUUGAUGACGUAACUGCACCUGAAGGCAGAGGAAAUGAAGCAAUCAGAUACCAUAGUAACAUUACUGCCAAGGCAGGGUCAGCUACAACAUCCCAGAGGUCUUUCAGAAAUCAAGUUGUAACUUCUAGUGAUGAAAUUAGUGUGACCGAGAAACAUGACUGUGAUAUCAGAAGCCAAGAAGGUCAACAUACCGAAGAGGCAGAAUUUACAAGUGCAGACCUUGGUGUCAAGGGUGCCUUUGGUUCUGAAAUUGAUGGUGUUGGCACAGCACCCAUUAUGGAGGGAGACGGCAUUGACACCGAGCAUGUUCCUGAAACUGAAAGCCUUGGAAUCAAUGGCGAGCAGAAUAUUGAUUUGAAUAGAAUUGUCACUUUAGAAGGGGAUACAAUGCAACUUGAUGAUGAAACCAACGUACAAGAAAAUGAUGAGCAGGUUCCAAUGAUUUGUCAGCAGCGUCACUCACAAUCAAAUAGCCCCCAAGACACUCUCAAAGGUAUGGAAGAUACCGAAGCCUGUGGUACGAUCAGGACAGCAGACCUUUUAGCUUCUGAAGUUAUUGGUAGCUGGGCUUACAGCACAGCCCCUUCUGUGCAUGGAGAUAAUGGCUCUCAAAGAAGCAGAGACAACAAUGAGGAAGGUGCUGCUGCACCACACAACUCCACCGAUCAGGUGGCCGAGAGCCAAAGUACUCCAUCUUCUGAUGCUGUUGCCAGAAGACGAAAUCUUGAAUGUCAAGCACCCAAUUCCUCUUCACCCGGAUUCCAAAUUAGUAAACAUGCCCUAAGUGAAAUGAUUGGGAUUGUUGCUCCGGACUUAAAAGAACAGUUCGGUGGUAUUGUAGAUGAUAGUUGUGAUCAUGCGAAAGAAAAACAAGGUUCUGCAUCCGACUCAGAUACUGAGAGCUGUUCAAACAAUGAAGAAGAUAACAGAACUGAUGCCAAAAGCGGAUCAAUUUCAGAUUCAGAAACCGAGGGCAGUGAUCGGGGUGAUGAAGAUAAAAAUCUGGUGAUGCAAUGGAUGAAGAUGAUCAAGAUACAGAAGAUUCUCUUUAGAUAAUAGGCGUAUAUGGGAGCACAAGUACUCCAACACCUAUCUGGUUCGGACUGGUAUGACCUGUAACUACUCCAGACAUAUCUGGAUUUUGCGUCUGUCUUUUUGUUGCUCUUGUAGUUACGUUCACGGUUUAUAUUUGUAGCUUUCCUUUAUACCAAUUUCACAAAGAAUUUUGUUUCUUGAUUUGUUUUCCUUAAACUUGGGAGUUGAUGUUCAUCGAGGCUCUAGAGUCCCCUUCCCCAACUCUGGACUGAAAAUUGAACCCUAGAGAGAUUCAAUCCACCUUCCCAAUCACAUCCCCUCGUGUGACGAGGCAGGUGAUCGCUUUUUCCCUGAGGAGUUAAUGGAUAGGAACUUCCCUAUCCCAGUGUUAGCGUAGUACUGAGUAGCUCUUUGUUCCGGUGUUAAGUGUCUCAUUUUCUAUCUCUCUCUUUACGUGAUUAUUCAUGAGUUAUGUACUCGUGUAUACUAAACAACAUGUUGUUCAGAAAGUCCAAUGUUAGUUGCUAAAAGCUGGCUAUGAUCUCGAAGUAAUGAGCUUUUUUGGCUUAGAAGUCAGAAGCAGUGAGUUUGUCAACCAAGUAGAUAAUAUUUUUUGAAGUAAAUUUGUCAAGGCCAGCAAUCAAAUACAUCUUCCCACUAGGCACAGUCCUAAAUGCUCUUCCUUCUGCACCCUUCAAUUAUUAGAUGUAACUUGCUCUCUCUCAUUGAGCAAGACCCCAAAACCUAAUCUUGAAACUUUUGUCUACAUCCCACAGAGAAAUUUAUAUGUAACUGGAAUGUUGAAGUGACGAUAUUCAAAGUUUAUUACGCUUCACCUUGUAUCUUAACUUACGUGCAUGAAUCAUGUCAUCAUUUCAGAAUAUCGUCACACACACUAGCAUUCUAGUUGUACGUAAGUUCUAUUUAAAUGUUACUCUUUGUUUUUGUGUUGUUUUUAAUCCACGUUUGCAUUUAGAUUGGGACGAAAAGUAAUAUAAUGUCGUACUUUCUUAGUGAAAUAGUACUCCAUAAAACCUCUUAUUCGUCUUAGCCAAAUUACAGUUUUGGUCCUUGUAGUUUGAGUAAUUUUUCACUUUACUCCCGUAGUUUCAACUUUGGUAAUUUUUGUCAUGUAAUUUUCUUGCAUUUUCAAUUAGUUCACAAUCGCUAAACCCAUUAAAAUUGAGAACAUAAAUUUGACGUGACAUCACAUGCAUGUUUUAUGUAUAGGCAUCUGUUCAUCUGAAUUGUGGUUUCGUGCACACUCUCAAAAAGUCACAACAUUUUGAAUGUUGAAAUAGCCACACAUGAGACAUGUGAGUGCUCUCUUGACAAAUUUUAAUCUAUAAUUUUAAUUGAGACAAACUGCAGAAGUAAAUAAGGCCAUAAAAAUAAGGGUCUCACCACGUGUCUACAAAGAUGAUGAAAACAAGGAAAUGCCCUCUCAUCGGUUAUUGUAGUUAAUACGUUGUUCUAUGGAGUUUUAAGGUAAAAAAUAUAGAAGAAACAUGUAUUUCCACGACUCUUUAUCUUCCAGUCAUUUAUGUUCAACUUAAUUCUUGUUGAUGACCACAUAUCUUUUCAGUAUUUUUUACCUUAACUCCACUGACUAAGGUAGUAAAAGUCACGUUAUAAAUAAGUUCCUCAUUAAAAACCAAAGGUAUAUGCUUCAGUCUCAUACUUAAACUUACUGCUUUGACAUUGAUACAAAUAAUUGACUAGAACGUGAGAGGGCUUGGCCAACACCAAGUCGAGGUUUGCUCAUCUUGCUGUUACAGGAUCGAAGUGAAAAACUACUAAAACUAUAAGGACCAACAGUAUAAUUUAGAUACCACUUUUUCUUUUCGUAGUGGCAUCUGUUUCUUAUGAACUGAGAUAGUCUAGUGGAUAAGUACUCUGUACGUCUCUUCUAAAUUGUAAUGAGGAGGUAGAGAGAGAAAUACAACAUAUACACACACACACACAUAGGAAUCUUUUAAGAAAAGGGAUCUCCAUUUUUAUUAUAAGAAUAAUGAUUAGUUGUGAGACCUACACCAUAUCAAACUUUAACGAUUCGAACAGUUUAUUUUUCAAGUUGCAUCUCAUAAAUCAUUGUUACAAAAUAUUUGCCAAAUUGGUUAUAUUUGAAGCAUAUAAUUGAGUUUAAAGAAAUUGACGAACACUUUAUUAUCUAAGAAACAUUGAAAUUUCACCGUGACAGUUAAAUAAGCAAAUGGUUUCGGAUUGAAUUGAGUUUUUGCAAUGAUGAUCUAUGAAUCAAGACUUACAAAAUAGACCGUUCAGAUUGUUGAAAUUCGAUGUGAAGUGGAUCUCACAACUAAUCCUCAUUUUUUGAACAAAAUAGGGAUCCCUUCCUUGAAUGGUGUGUGUGUGUGUGUGUGUGUGUGUGUGUGUGUGUGUGUGUGUGUGUGUGUAUCAUGAUGAGUAUGUAGUGUGGCAAUCUUAAGGGCAAUCGAUUGCGCAGUAGGCAAUUGAGUGGGAGAUGGAUCGAAUAUGAAUUGCAAGAAAAUGUCGAUGGUGAUGUGGACCAGAUUGCUUGAUGGUGAGACGUGUCUGAACACUCAUAGAUCAUAAUACUUAUAUAGUUCAUGCAUGUGAAAUUACAUUACACUACAAAGUGAAAACUAUAAGGUUAAUAAUUAUAACUUGUACCAAAAACUUCAUUAUGUGACCACAAAUUUCAAUAGAAUUUACCAAAAAAAAAUUGAAGCAGUUAAAAGGUGGUUAUUUAGAAACCAACAUCUCACAUGUGUUCAACCUUUUUGAUCACAUGAAGGAUUGCCAAGGGAGAGUUCAGAAAAGAAAAUAAACAACUGAAAGAGAGAGUUUAAUUUCUUUUUUAAUUGGAAAACAUAUUAUAAAGAAGAUUUAGGUCGGAUUUUAAAUUUGUACAAAACAGACAAAUUUCUAAAUCAUGCACAAGAUGAUUAUAAGUACGUCUUACUAAAGUAGAAUCAUCUGUCACCACAUUUGUCUCAUGAUAUAUAUGAUCCAAACCAAACUUGGGGUCCCUAUUGUGCAUCAAUUAAUUACCAAGUGUACUAAACUAUUCUCAAUAGUGGAGCCUUGUCUAGCAAACUAAAUAUUGAAGGUGAUGAAUUGGUAUAUAUGACACUUGAAAUGCAUCAUGCCCAUCGAUCACCCAAAUAUAAACUUCCAAAGAAAAACAAGAAAAGAUUCGAAAGUUGUAAGAAGAAAAAAAACCAAUAAGUGAAAGCAAUCAGAUCAUUUUUGAAAAUGGUGGGAGCUUCAUUUGCUUGUUGACUAUCUUCAUCUCAUCCUUUCAUUGUGUAGCAUAUAAGUACUGAGGAGAUAGUAACACAAGAAAUGAGUGAAGCUUGCUCUGGUCGCAGCCCUAAUAAUCAAAUGGCUAAACAUAUCCCAUGUCCAAAGGGGCAUCAUGAGGGACUAGUACCCAGUUCUAUGCCCACUCUAAUACAUGCCUAUAAUGUUCACACUGUAUACCACCUACACAAAGGAUAUGAUAACAUAGAAUACACCCUAUGGUCCAAUGUAAGUAGUACACAUCCUUUGUUUUGGCCCUUUUUUUUUGUAUUUUAAAUACAGUAAUGGUCUAUUUUCAGACUUAUGUUGCAUGCAGAUAAAUCUGUGUUUGUAUUGUUAGACAAUGAAUUUAGACAAUACAUUUUGAUCAAAAUCAACAAAAUUUAGGUUCAAAUUUAUAGUCUGACGAGAGAACAAUUUCUGCUUCAAUGACGGAAUUUCUUUCUUUAGCAAGGGAAGAUCGUGAAGAAUGAUGAUGGUAUGUAUAGCUUGAUAUUUUUGUGAAAACAAAACAAAAGCAUAUGGUUUGAUCCAUCCAUCGAAUAUAGCUCCUUGUAGCAAGCAAAUCAUAAGGGUUGUGACAAGAAUGUGAGAGUUUUGGUCCCCAGUUGAAUUAUGGGCUGUCAAGUUUAAGUGUCUCCAACCACGUAGAGUUAAGGGUGCCAUGUGAAGUGGCUGAGCUGAAGUUGGACAAAAUACCACCACUACCAUUGAUAAUGAUGAUAUUACCAAUCCAAUGGGUGAGAGAGAAAGAGAGAAAAUGAUCAUGAUGGUGAAGAAGAAGAUGAAGCCAAAAAUGGGGUUCAUUUUCCAAAUAAAUGAGUAUGGCUUUGGUACUCAAUUACACCAAGAAAAGAGACAAAAGGGGAGGACCUAACAACAUUGACUACUCCCUCCCUUCAUCCUCCAUGCUUGGCAUCCCUUCCGAUAACCUGCUCAUUUUCCUUUGGCUUCUCUCAAAGGCCCUACACAAAAUGGCCACAUGUGACUUGCACGUGACAGUUCAUAUGAGUCUUUGUCAUAAGUUGGACUUGGGGAAAGGUGGCUUUAGACAAACUAACUUCAUCAGAUAUAUCAACUCAUAUGGCAUGAAUAUUAUGUUGAAAAAAGCUGCUACUUUUUGGUUUGCAUUUAGCUUAGGGGUAGGUUUAAAAAACCGAAAAUCGAAAAAAAACCAAACCGAACAUCGAAAUAAAUGUCAAACAAUAAAAAGUUUAAUGUUUAGGGCAUAAAUUUUAGACUAAUUGAUUCAAAACCCUACAAUAGGAGAGAGUUAAAUGCACUCAGUACACCACCGUGGCGUUGUGAGGGGUGUAUGUAACUCUUUCCUCUAUAGUAUAUACCUUGUUUUAAAAAUAGACAAACUUUUGAGUUGUCAAUUAAUUGAUUGCUUAAUUGAUUCUCUUUUAGGUGAUCAAGCAACAUGAUAACUUUAGAAAGUUUAGAUAUACUAUAAUAUAUAUAAUAAUAUAAAUUAAAAUGAAAUUGCAGUUGCAAGUGGUUGUGCAUUUUCUUAGCCGAAUAUAAUUGAUAGAAGGCGUAACGAUUUUACAUAAAAGUUGAUCAAGCACUCAGACACUGAUUUUGUGAUAUUAUCAUGUUUAUCCUUAAUUUUUUUUCAUAAUCCUGUUGCCUCCUCCUGCUUCUCUCCCAGCAAUCCAUCACUUCAUCCUCAACAACAACAAAGCAUUUUCUCACUAAGUGAGGUCGGCUGUAUAAAUUCUAAAACAUCGUUGCAGUCGGUUCUGUGUCACUUCCAAAAAAUAAAAGAUCUAAAAAGAAAAAAAGAAAGCUAGGGACGACGUGAGUGUUGGGACGGUGUCGAGUUUGAAGCCAAAGACAGGGUGAGUGGUGGGACAACGUGAGUGUUGGAACAGCGUGAGUGUUGGAGAGCAUGUCCGGUUCGGUAAAUAUCCGCACCGAAGGAAGCAAGAGCUAGCGACCAGUUCAAGGUCGAUAAAAUUCUCGGUUCAUAUUCUUUUCAGUUGGUUUAAUUUAUGCUUCUCUCAAAUCCCCAAAUUUUGAUUGAAUUUAUGCCUCUUUCAAUUUUGAUUGAAUUUAUGCCUCUCUCAAUUUUUGAUUGAAUUUGGCGUCCAUUGAUUUCUCGAGUGGGAGACGAGGGAGGAAGAGAUCGAGUUGGGAUCCUGGAAGACGAAGAAAUAUGUUUGAUGUGCAGAAAGUGCGACGGAGAGGGAUGGUACGAUUGACAUAUUGGAAAUUUAUUAGUGACUCUUGUUCACCAGUGUUUUGAUUAAAAAAAAAAAUGCUGGUUUUUGAAAGUAGAUGAGAGAUAUUUCCAUUUUCUACUUUGAAUGACCGUGAUUUUGAAAAAAACUUGGGUUUGCUGGGGUUACCAAACACAAAUUGGAGUCCAGUUUUUUUUCACUCCCUCCUAUAAAUAAAAGGUUAAGCAAUCAAAAACCAAUAUUCAGAGACAAAACCGUACAUCUAGUUAAAAAUAUUUGGAGCAUUUUUGCUCAUCACCAUAACUAUAAUGUAUGCUCAAUAUAACUAUCUUGUAUGCUCACCAACCUCAUCACCUGCCACAUGUCCCUUCACAUAACACUAGUUAAUAUUGUAGACACGCAAAUUUCAGUGAAAAUAAAUAGUCACCAAAACAUUAAAUUUCGGCAUGCGAGGGGUUAUGUGGCAUGCAAUGACACGUGUCAACACUUGGUGAAAAUGCCAAAUUGGAAAGAUUGAUUUGUUUAAUUUUAUUUAAUUUUUAUUUGAUUAAAUCAAAUAUUAAUUACAGGAGUAAAAUCACAAAUUACGAACCAAGACACAAAUCAAGUCUUGGUUCUUUUGUAGGCAAAGCUUGGAGAGUAUAAAUAGGAGGCUCCAAAACAACGAAAGGGGUCCAGAAAUCAUUUCAUGCCCAGACGCUAAAGCUUUGAAACUCUAAAGCUCUAAAGCAUCCAAAUUCUCAAAUACUCAGAAAAAUUCAAAACGUCAUCUACAUUCUUUGCCAAAACAUUUGAAAAAUCAUCAAACACCACCACACGUGCCGGUUUUUCCCUUACCACAAGGUAAAUCCUUGAGGCAAUCGUUCAUCCAAUAUCAAGUCAUCACGACCCUUGGAUCAACAACCAUACACACUUUACAUGUUUGGAUAUAGAAUCAGAGGAUUCAAAUUGUAAAAUGAUUGUAACCGUAAACUCAUUAAUACAUAUAUUCUUUGUACACGUGUUCUUGUUUCAUUUGUCACAUAAUUUUUGUGUUUACAAUAUUUUUCAAAAUUGAAAAAAGACAUAUAAUAUUAAAGUUAGCUAGAUUUAGAUGAAAUGACACAUGACUAAUGAUAAAAUAUAUAAUGAGCACACAUCUUAAUUUAUGAUGGUGAGAAAAAUGCUCCCAAAAUAUUUGGUACUUGGGGAUUUAAUUAGGAUAGAAUAUUCUUGUUAGGGAAAAUUAUACUAAAAGGAAAUGAUUACAUUAUCCCUAAGUUUGAGUUUACACGUUUGAAUAUUUGACCCCACGACAUGCAAAUUGCAGACAUUUUGUUCUCGUGUAAAAGCAAAAGAGUUUUAAAGGUGACGUCUACUUUUCAAACACAACCUUUACUUUCAAAACAAAACCUUAAUUAAGAUAACAACUAAUUAAGACAAACACCAACUUUUUGACCAAAUGCAAAAUCCAGCUAAUUAUCCGUCAUAAUUUCACGUAGAAAUUUACAUAAUACUCACAUACCCAUUCAGUUCAGCCAUUGACUUAAUUAAAGCAAUUGUCCAUGUAUUCGGGUUUCCCAUUCUUCUUUUUAUUUAAAGCAUCAAUGACAUUAACAGUAGGGUGGUCUAGUGGUUAGUAUGAAUUUCAAGCUUGUAUUCCACACGGUAAAUCCUAUAUUCGAUUUCUGACACUUGUGAAUCGUACGAUGGUGGCUAGAGAGAGACUAAAAUGCAUUUGUAAGUCUUUCUGGCCCCCUGGAAUGAUGGACCGUUAUGGCCAAGCCACCAGUUGGCCCCCUAUCCAAGAAAAGUUAUACCGAGAACUGAUUUUGAUGUGUAUAGUUUAAUAAUCCGCAAAGGAUCUUCUUUGUAAUUUGGUUUAAGUUUCAAAAAUAAAAUUAUUAAGCAUUUUAAACAAAUUAUUUACCUUCUUGUAGUUUUAAGAUUAAUAUUCAUCCAUUGUCCUCUCAGUACACAAAGAAGAGAGGAAUGAAUUCAAGCUGCCAAGCAAGACUAUUCAAACUCCUGAUUUCUGCAGUAAUGAUUUCGUUUACUGAUUGCAGCACAUGACUAUGGACAUAACAAGUCAUCUUCCACAUUCAGGACUCUGUGAAAAGGGACCAAAACCGUAUUAGUUGAAACUGAAGGGGGAAACUUUUGAAUUUCAACAAAGUUGCUAACCCUAGUUGGGGUAAUAGUUACUUUCCCAUGUGCCUCAACAAAACCCAAAUCUUAAGCAUCGAUCCCCAUCCAUGAAAGAGUCUUCGACUCUUAGCCAGCCUUGGGAGGGAGAGAAAUACUUUCUCACAAACGGUUUUAAACAAUUAUAUUUCUCAUCCAGUGACGUUAUCAGAGUUUUAUGUGAUAAAGCUUUAAUGUCACAAGUCACAUGAUAAAAAAAACAAAUAUAUAUUGGAUGAAUUGUGUCUUUAUCGACACAUACAAGUUAAGUCAAUUGACCACAACAAUACAUCUUCCAUUUUACACCAGGAUACCUUAUAAUAUAUUAACUUUAUUUAGACUAUCACUUAUUAACAUCAUUUCUUUUUCUUAUCUUCUCCUCUGCAUUUUAAUUUCAAUCUCUAUACUAGGCCUUUGUAAUCAUGACUCCUUUUGCCAUCAUUGCCAUGGAAAGCCCUCUCUCUCUCUCUCUCUCUCUCUCUCAAGUACAGAUACACAAAAAUAGCUAUGUGGCUCAUCUUUUCCUCCUAGGUUCUGCCCCAGACUUCUCUUCUAUUUAAAGUCCAAGAACUCUAUUUUUCACAAACCACAUUUUUAUUAGCCUUCUCUUCUCCAAGUUAAACUCUCUCUCUCUCUCUCUCUCUCUCUCUCUCUCUCUCUCUCUCUUUCUCUCUCUCUCUCUCUCACAGAGGCAGCAACUGAAUUGUAAAGGAAACAAUGUGUUUGAACUCAGAAUUGUCUCCGUCUAGUCCUCUAUACUCUUCUUUUCGCCUUCGAAGGCCAUCAAAGCAACACAGCUUUCGAGUUCGCCGCCUAAUUAACAGGUUUGUUCUUUCACAACCCAUCUCUCUCUAUCUCUCUCUAUUAUUCUUUGUUCUUAUCAUCAAAGAGAUUAACAGAAGGUGUUUAAAUUUUGUUUGUUAUGUUAACACAGGAACUGGAAGAGAAAACCAGCUGGACCAGCAGCAAAAGAGGCAGAGACCGGAGGGGCAAAGGUAGAGAUGGAAAUGAAGAACUUGAAGCUGUAUAUGGAGAACCAGAGCAUUAUAGAAGAGAAUAUUAAGCUGAGGAGAAAAGCACUUCUUCUUGUCCAAGAAAACCAAGCCUUGUUUUCACAGCUCCAACAAAAGCAGCUUUUUCUCAACAAAACAACAGCAGCAGUAUAAUAUGCAUGCAGAUGCACUAGGAGUCCCAUGAAGGUCAGACACGAUCAUCAGUACUAGACUAAUUAUCUAAACACGUAUUUAAUGCUUAAUUAAUUUGCAAUUUUCAUGAGAAAAACUUAAACAAGAAGGAAAUUGAGUAAUAGGGGGCCUCUUUUAUCCUUAAUUUGUUCUUUCAUCUCCUUGCUGAGGGAUUAAUUCCCCCACCUCACUUAAUAUGGGGUUAAUUUUGGUUUACGUUGCAAAAAUAAUAAAAUAUGGUAUGGUAUGGUAUGGUAUGGUAUGGUAUGGAUGAUUUACCAUUUAUGUGCCUCCAAAAAGAUCCAAAUUAAGAAUAGUGGUAUAUACAAAUCCUCGCUAGUAUCCUUGUGUAACUGCAAUGUUUUAUUUAUUUCCUACUCUUUUUUUUGUUUUUGUUUUGAUGUGUCUUGGGGCCCGGGGCAAACGAAAGAUUCUUGACUGUUACAAGGUUGUAUACAACUGUGUCUACUAUUUAAUGAAAGGGUUAAUAUAAAGUGAGAUCAUUGCUAUUUGGUAUUACAGUUUAAUAAUAUUUCUUUUCAUUUGUAAGUGAGAGGUCUUAUGUUCGAUUCUCGCUAAAGACGAAUUUAAAUCACAUUAUUGUUAACCAAUUGUAAGGCUUAGUCCACCGCUUCCCUUUACUGUGAAUAAUAUCGUUUUUUUUUAAAUUAAAAUAAUAUAUAUAUAUAUAUAUAUAUAUAUAUAACUAUAUAACUUGGAGAUUGAUGCAUGUCUUUUUGAUAAAAAAAAUCACAACCCUAUGUCUGCAUAAAUAUCUUCUGAUACUUGAGUUUGAUUUAUCAGCAACCAAAAAAUACAUGGGUUGAAAAAAUAAUUAUCAGAGAGUGGUCAAAGAUCCACUUCCAACAACACCGAUAUUAUCUCCAAUUUGGUAGUAACUACUUGCACAAUCCGUCAAGUGUGAAGUUUUACCACAAAUUUUUUUAAUGUUAGUUAAAAUGAGGUAAUUCUAUUUAAAUUGCUUUUCUCUUUCUCCUCUAGAUGUGGGGUUCAACAACAGCAAAGCCUGCUUGAUCGUCCACCACCAUAUGUCCGUGAUGGAGUUAAUUACAUAUGGAUUAUGGAGAAAAUUAAGGAUCAUGGGCCUAGGAGUCCAAGAUUCAAUGUCUAUACAAAGGCCAUUUAACUCGCUAGCACAGGAGGGAAGGGAUCACAAUCGCUUUAAAUUCUACAGCAAUCACUAAGAGUGCGUUUGGUACGUGGAAUGGGACGGAAUAGAGUGGGACGGACGUGUUCCGUCCUACGUUUGGCGCGCUAAAAUUAUGUGGAACGGCUGUCCCGCGGGACGAAAAUGGGCUAAAUUUUUUUUUCGCGCUCCCCCUGGAACGGGUAUUUCCAUCCCGUGGAACACAAAAAUCAUAAAAUUUAAGACAAAAAUACCCCUUAACUUUUUCAAUAUUUACACCAUCUAUAUCAUCCAACAAACCCUACAACUAUCAUUUCUCUUCUCUCUGCCGCUGUGAACGUUCAUCCUUGCGCAUCUCCCCUUCGCGAACUUUCAGCUCUUCAUCCCUGCCCAUCUCCCCUGCUGCUUGUAAAUCCUCCAAUCUUUAUCUUUAAUUAAUUUUGAUGCUGCUUGUAAAUCCUCCAAUCCCUAGAACGGGUUUGGUGUUUGUUGUUGCUUGUAAAUCUCCCUUCGCGACCUCGUUUUUCUUCCUCAGAAGCUCCUCCACGGUUUCCCGAGUCGGGUUCUCCGGCGGUUCUAGGGUUGAGUCCGCGGAGUGAGCUUCGUCUGUGAAAUCUGCGGCAGCUGCUUCAGAUGAAAUUGAAGCGUACGGCCGCGAAGGAACAUUGUACGGAGCAAGCCUGAGGGCUAAUUUCAAAUUCAAAUCACAAAAUUGAGUUAGAAAUGUGUGUAUGAGUGUCGAGAGAGAGAGAGAGUACCUUGGUUGGAAGGAAGCGGAGAGAAGAUGAGGGAGGGGCAGUGGAGGAGAGAGACGGUGGGUUGAUUGGUUCGGAGGGUGGAGGUGAUUGAGGAGAGAGAUGUAUGGACUAGGGUAAGUUAGUCAUUUUAAUAUUUUGAUUUCGUUCCCUCCUGCGCUUACCAAACGCAGAACGGAACAACUUUCCUGUUCUAUCCUGCGCAUACCAAACAUAACAUGGAACCACCAUUCCAUUCUGUCCCGUCCCGUCCGCGUACCAAACAGUACCUAAGUGUCGGAGCGUCUUUUGCAAGUACGCACCGGACAUGCUCUUAUUGGUGGCAAGUGAAGAUGGUUUACAAAAUUACUUGUUGGAGAACUGAAGAACUCAACCAUUGUCUUUUGCUCAUGAGACUUUUCCAAGUCCAGCCAAAAAGAAAGAAAACUAAAGGCAAAUUGAAUGCCAUAGUUACAUUUUAAUUAUUUAUGCCAAACGUUGGUGCAAGUACUUUCAGUUAUCUCAAAGCUUUAUUAACUGAUCCCUUACUAGCUUGCACAUUAAGAAAUUAAAAGAAAAUUAAGCAUCAUUAAAUUGGUUAACAAACUGAGCUUCCCUUUCCCGCCAUUUGGACUCGUAUGGGCGCGAAAAACUCUUACAUCUCUCUCACUUGUGGAGAGGGCCCGACCUCACGCUGGUCUCCCCCGGUGAAAAAACUGCCCUACUCAUGCAGCCUACAAAAGUUUCUUUUAAGGAAUUAUUUGAAACCCUUUCGUUUCCUUGUUAUUUCAAAUCUUGGCAUACAUGAACGGUACAUGAUCCGAAAGAACAAUUUAACCUUAUAAUUUGAACCGAAUCCCUAGAUUUGAAAUCAUUCCGCCCAAAUUUGCAUCUACAAGUACUAAAGGAUGUAGUGUCACACUUACAUAUCAACUAAAGUUAAAGCAACAAUCAUGUGAAUGUCACGGCUCAACGAUAGGGUUUAAUGGCAUGUGAAUGACAAGGAAACAACAGCUACAACUAUUUCAGUCACAAGGCUCCUGCCAAAGUAGAUGUGAGAAAUGCAGGCGGUGGAUUGUCCUGGUCGUUAGGGCUUCUCAACCAACUGCGUUUUGGGUUCAAAUCAUCCUUCUUCACUUAGUGUAGAUUACUGUAAAAUAUCGCUUGUAACAAAAAAAAAUUAUAGAGAAAAAAAGGAGUAGAAGUGAUAAACAAAGAACCAAUUCUUAUUGCGACAUAGAACUACUUCACAUAAUAACAUUCCCAAAAGCAUUCAUGUCUGUAAUUUAAAGCUAAGCAAAAACCAAAGAAAACAUCACUUAUAAACUCUGAAGGAAAAAGACUCAGCAUCCCAAGGAAAAAAAAUGUCCUAGACAAGAAAACUACCUCAAUAUCGACUGACUAAGAUGAACUCAUCAUCAUCAAGAACUCGGACAUCCUUUUCUCCGACAAAAUUCUCCCGCCCAAUUUGCUUAAUCAAGUUCACAAACUCUACCCUCUUUGCAAGAGGAAGAGGUACAUAUGGCAGCCUGAAGACCGGCCUCACAACACCAAGUUGGGCAAGUGCUGUGUUUAAGCCGAUGGGAUUUGGCUCUUGGAAAAGCCACUUAACCAGAGGCAUAAUUUUUGCAUUCAGAGACGGAUUCUUCCCCCCAAACAUGAGCUGACGCAUUAAACCUGGAACCAAGUUACUAGUAACAGAUAUGACUCCGGUAGCUCCAUGGCUCCACCUAGAAUCAUGGCACUCAUCAUCAUUCCCACUCCAUACCACAAUUUUCUUCCCAGUGUACUCUU